rnacentral:rRNA from 1 species
UGGAAACUNUCUGACUUGAGUGCAGAAGGGGAGAGUGGAAUNCCAUGUGUAGCGGUGAUAUGCGUAGAUAUAUGGAGGANCACCAGUGGCGAAAGCGGCUCUCUGNUCUGUCACUGACGCUGAGGCUCGAAAGCGUGGGUAGCGAACAGGAUUAGAUACCCUGGUAGUCCACGCCGUAAACGAUGAGUGCUAGGUGUUAGGCCCUUUCCGGGGCUUAGUGCCGGAGUUAACGCAAUAAGCACUCCGCCUGGGGAGUACGACCGCAAGGUUGAAACUCAAAGGAAUUGACGGGGGCCCGCACAAGCGGUGGAGCAUGUGGUUUAAUUCGAAGCAACGCGAAGAACCUUACCAGGUCUUGACAUCCCGAUGCUAUUCUUAGAGAUAGGAAGUUACUUCGGUACAUCGGAGACAGGUGGUGCAUGGUUGUCGUCAGCUCGUGUCGUGAGAUGUUGGGUUAAGUCCCGCAACGAGCGCAACCCUUAUUGUUAGUUGCCAUCAUUAAGUUGGGCACUCUAGCGAGACUGCCGGUAAUAAACCGGAGGAAGGUGGGGAUGACGUCAAAUCAUCAUGCCCCUUAUGACCUGGGCUACACACGUGCUACAAUGGUCGGUACAACGAGUUGCGAGCCGGUGACGGCAAGCUAAUCUCUGAAAGCCGAUCUCAGUUCGGAUUGGAGGCUGCAACUCGCCUCCAUGAAGUCGGAAUCGCUAGUAAUCGCGGAUCAGCACGCCGCGGUGAAUACGUUCCCGGGCCUUGUACACACCGCCCGUCACACCACGAGAGUUUGUAACACCCGAAGUCGGUGAGGUAACCUUUUAGGGGCCAGCCG